GGGCCCUUAGCUCAACGGUAGAGCGCUGCCCUCGCACGGCAGAGGCUGGGGGUUCAAGUCCCCCAGGGUCCA
rnacentral:tRNA from 1 species